rnacentral:rRNA from 1 species
AGAUUGAACGCUGGCGGCAUGCCUUACACAUGCAAGUCGAACGGCAGCACGGGAGCAAUCCUGGUGGCGAGUGGCGAACGGGUGAGUAAUACAUCGGAACGUGCCCAAUCGUGGGGGAUAACGCAGCGAAAGCUGUGCUAAUACCGCAUAAGAUCUACGGAUGAAAGCAGGGGAUCGCAAGACCUUGCGACGAAUGGAGCGGCCGAUGGCAGAUUAGGUAGUUGGUGAGGUAAGGCUCACCAAGCCUUCGAUCUGUAGC